GACGAACGCUGGCGGCGUGCUUAACACAUGCAAGUCGAACGGAAAGGCCCUGCUUGCAGGGUACUCGAGUGGCGAACGGGUGAGUAACACGUGGGUGAUCUGCCCUGCACUUCGGGAUAAGCCUGGGAAACUGGGUCUAAUACCGGAUAGGAGCCAUUUUUAGCGUGAUGGUUGGAAAGUUUUUUCGGUGUAGGAUGAGCUCGCGGCCUAUCAGCUUGUUGGUGGGGUAAUGGCCUACCAAGGCGGCGACGGGUAGCCGGCCUGAGAGGGUGGACGGCCACAUUGGGACUGAGAUACGGCCCAGACUCCUACGGGAGGCAGCAGUGGGGAAUAUUGCGCAAUGGGCGCAAGCCUGAUGCAGCGGCGCCGCGUGGGGGAUGACGGCCUUCGGGUUGUAAACUCCUUUCGCUAGGGACGAAGCUUUUUGUGACGGUACCUAGAUAAGAAGCACCGGCUAACUACGUG
rnacentral:rRNA from 1 species